CCCACAAUCCCACCCAUACUAGAUGUUGGCAUGUAAAAAAAAAACAGCAAAAAUAGGAGGGAGCUAAAAGCCUAGUAAGUUACCUCUGUCACUAUUCGAUUAAGUAUUAAAUGCAUAAAUUUUAGGAUCAUAUUUUAAGAUUUUUUGAUUUAUAGUUUAAGGUAUGCUGAGCAAAAUAAAAUAUGCAUGUAUUCAAAAUCAUCAACAUAUCUGAAUAAUAGAAGAAGAAAAUAUAACUUUUAAUCAUUGUACC
rnacentral:lncRNA from 1 species